rnacentral:rRNA from 1 species
UGGAUCGCCCUUUCUGUUUGAUCCUGCCAGAGGCCACUGCUAUCGGAGUUCGAUUAAGCCAUGCGAGUCGAGAGGGGAAAGCCCUCGGCGUACUGCUCAGUAACACGUGGAUAACCUGCCCUGCGGUGGGAAAUAACCCCGGGAAACUGGGGAUAAUGUCCCAUAGGCUACGGAUGCUGGAAUGCUCUGUAGCUCAAAGAUUUAUCGCCACAGGAUGGGUCUGCGGCCGAUUAGGUAGUUGUUGGGGUAACGGCCCAACAAGCCUUUGAUCGGUACGGGUUGUGGGAGCAAGAGCCCGGAGAUGGAUUCUGAGACACGAAUCCAGGCCCUACGGGGCGCAGCAGGCGCGAAAACUUUACAAUGCGGGAAACCGUGAUAAGGGAACUCCGAGUGUCCGUCAAUGCGGACUGUCCGUAUGUUUAAAAAGCAUGCGAAGAAAGGGCCGGGCAAGACCGGUGCCAGCCGCCGCGGUAAUACCGGCGGCUCGAGUGGUGGCCACUAUUACUGGGCUUAAAGCGUUCGUAGCUGGGUUGUUAAGUCUCUUGGGAAAUCUACCGGCUUAACCGAUAGGCGUCCAAGGGAUACUGGCAAUCUAGGGACCGGGAGAGGUGAGGGGUACUUCAGGGGUAGGAGUGAAAUCCUGUAAUCCUUGGGGGACCACCUGUGGCGUAGGCGCCUCACCAGAACGGCUCCGACAGUGAGGGACGAAAGCUGGGGGAGCAAACCGGAUUAGAUACCCGGGUAGUCCCAGCCGUAAACGAUGCGCGUUAGGUGUAUCGAUGACCACGAGUCAUCGAGGUGCCGAAGGGAAACCGUGAAACGCGCCGCCUGGGAAGUACGGUCGCAAGGCUGAUACUUAAAGGAAUUGGCGGGGGAGCACCACAACAGGUGGAGCCUGCGGUUUAAUCGGACUCA